rnacentral:rRNA from 1 species
AACGAACGCUGGCGGCAGGCUUAACACAUGCAAGUCGAGUGCCCCGCAAGGGGAGCGGCAGACGGGUGAGUAACGCGUGGGAAUCUACCCAUCUCUACGGAAUAACGCAUGGAAACGUGUGCUAAUACCGUAUACGUCCUUCGGGAGAAAGAUUUAUCGGAGAUGGAUGAGCCCGCGUUGGAUUAGCUAGUUGGUGGGGUAAAGGCCUACCAAGGCGACGAUCCAUAGCUGGUCUGAGAGGAUGAUCAGCCACACUGGGACUGAGACACGGCCCAGACUCCUACGGGAGGCAGCAGUGGGGAAUAUUGGACAAUGGGCGCAAGCCUGAUCCAGCCAUGCCGCGUGAGUGAUGGAGGCCCUAGGGUUGUAAAGCUCUUUCACCGGUGAAGAUAAUGACGGUAACCGGAGAAGAAGCCCCGGCUAACUUCGUGCCAGCCGCCGCGGUAAGAC